ACCUGUUUUUUUUUUUUUUCUAAAUGGGCAGAUGAGAUUAAUAUUAUGAUUUUUUUUUUGCAGUCCUAACCAAUCAAAGAAUCAUAAUAUUAUGUUCAACUGAGUUUUGUUAGAAGACAGAAUUUCAGAAUUUCUUUCCAUUAAUGUAACAGAAUUGCAAUCAGAGAUUAACUAAAAUAUUAUUGCUCUCGCUUAUACCAAAUUCAGGCUUGAGUUCGAUUGCAUACAAGUCCGAAGGUUUCAAUUUUAGGAGCAAUAAUACAAACAGAGAUUGAGUGCAUAAAGUUUCUAUCACCAAGUUUAACAUUUAAUGCAAAAGGUAGCAUAAAUAUAAACCCUGGUAAAAUUUGAAGGAAUGCAAUAUGUAAUAAGUUAGAAAUUAGUACAUCUUGUUCAAGUGCCAUCCGU
rnacentral:misc_RNA from 1 species